GUUGGUUAGAGUAAAAGACUGAAAAUCUUUGUGUCGGUGGUUCAAGUCCACCUCCAGACA
rnacentral:tRNA from 2 species